UCUGGGGAUCUCACCCAACAGCCAUGAUUUUUCAAAUAUGAUGGAGAGAGGAGGUAGUGGGAUCGAACCAGGGACCUUUAGAUCUUCAGUCUAACGCUCUCCCACCUGAGCUAUUACAGCUGAUGGCAGACUAGACCAAUACUUCCAGAUCUUUUCCCUCUCUGCAGUGAUAAUGAUUGGAGGAUGGACUUGCACAGGCAACGUUGUAGUAGGGAUUUGGAACAAGAAAAGAAUGUAAGUGAGUCCUUUUUAUAGCCAGAUGGAGAAAGCCUCGCAGUCACAGACCCAGAUGCUCCUGGAUCAUCUUAAUCACCUCAGUAUCUGCUGGAAGGCAAAUAUGGCUAGAUACAAACAAUCCAGAUUUCUGAACUGUACUGAAGCUAAUUUAUUGAUACAGAUGGUCAGUGAAGAAACAAGGAAAUGUGCUGUUGGACCUGCUAUUCAAAACCAAGGAAGAACUGACUGAAGAUGUGAAGGCUAAGGGUACUCUUGGCUGCAGCAACUGAGAUUAUGGAAUUGAAGAUUGUGAGAGAAGUGAGUAAGAUGAACAGCAGAGGUCCUUCCCUGGACUUCAGAAGAGCAAAUUUAGGUCUGUUCAGGGAGGCUUUCAUGGGAAAUUGUUCAGCAGGGCAAAAGGCCUCAGGAUAGCUGGCUGAUCUUCAAGGACAACCUCCCCAGAACACAAGAACAGUGCACAAUGUUCAGAGUUGAGCAAGCAUGGCAGAAGGCCAAUGUGGAUGAACAUGGAGCUCCUGCCUAAGCUCAAACACAAAGCAUGAGUCUCCACCACUGGGAAUUCGAAGAAGAUGAGGAAAAAAAAAACAACAUGAGCUGCAACACAUCAUAGGUAGCUCAGAAAAGAGAGACUGUCUUGGAAAGAAGGAGAAGAGCACUGGAGUAUGUCAUUCAAGGACUUUGGAAGAUCUCAGGGAAUACUCUUCAUCCUGAAAUACAAACUGCUUUGGAACAGGACAGAGCUGCUGCUCUGCAGAAGGAAAGCAAAUGAAAUGGCUGACAGCAUGGGUGCAGCUUCCUGACCAGAGUACAGGUAUAGUAGAAAAGAGGAUGUUUCCUUUCAUUUCUGUAUAGGUCCUAAACAAUUAAACCUGUAAAGUGGGAACGUUUUCUUCCAGACUAUGAUAUACAUUCCUGUAAAGAAGAAAAGUUGGAAAUAUUUUUCUGCAUUUCAUAAGAAGAAAAACAAAAUACAUUUUUGACAAUCUCCUCCCUACUGGAAAACACUGAAGAUCACUGUUUCAGUUGUUUUUAACAGAUGUUUCAUGUGGAAAUACACCUUUCUCACAAUCUAGAGGCUAUUAAAUUAUAUGCAGAUGAAAUUUUGAUGCGAGGAAAACACAGGUUGUCAUGUGACUCCUGGGUGCUUUGGAAAGAGUUAGAGAAUAAAAUUGAGUUAGAGCUUCUGGAAUAAAGAAAAAAAAAUGUAAAUUGCAUAUCAUGGAAAUAGCAUACCUCAUUAAGAAGAUAACCCUAUCAUGCGUGCAGGGAAAUGAAAGUACAGCUGAGGCCAUCACUUGCUUGCCUUAACAAACCAGAAGCAAUGUUUUUGUUUCGCGUUUCUUAAAACUGUAUGCUCAAAAUUAGAGAUCGCUACAAAUACAGCAUCUUGAUGAGAACAGAGAGAGGGAAAUUUUGGCUUUAGUAAUUAAAUGUUGAAAGUUCUUGUCUUUAUUAGUCAUAAGGUUAUUUGUGAGCUGUGGAUGGAAGUUAACCGUAAAUCACUUCUUUUCAUUGCCAGAAACACUUCACAAACACCCUUUCUACACCUUGGAGAACAAAUAUAUAUGUAUUUUAGCUAUAUAUAUAUAUAUAUGAUUUAAGAUGGAAUUGAUGUCUUGGAACUAUUUAUUGAUUGGUAUGUUCUUAAUAGCAGGGCUCAGCAACUGGUAAUUUAGUCUGGUCCAAAAAUAUUUUAAACAUUUUGAAAUGCAGUUAUGCAUCACCAGAUAUUUAGUCCUGUGAUCUGCUUCUGCAUGUAUAGGGCACAAGAAAUGAUAAAGCAAGAUGGAAAAGCUUCCAGAACAGCUAUUGCGCAAAAAGUACUUAAAAUGUUCAAAUAGGGAACCUAGAUCUCAGAAAAACUAGAGAUGAAAAGGAAAUAUUUUUAAGUUUCUUGUGUAUGCCAAACAAAUAGGCCAAGUCAGAUGAAAGAGCUCAUAUUGACACCACAGAAACUGUUGGACCCUGGAGCAAGGUAGACGUUUGUUUAUGCUGGCUGAAGAAGAUGAACAUUUGUCUUUGCUAUUUUCAAUUUCCAGUGAUAGCUUUUCUAGAAAAUACCACUACUAAGUAGAUAAUUAGGCAAAACAAAUUAUUUUCUCAUGUAGAAAGGACUAAACAUAAGGCAUAAAAAAAAAAGUAGAUAAUUUGUUGUGUAACUGCUGAUCCUUGUUAUCUCAAAUCUAAAGUGUUGUUAGAAAACAAUAUCAAAAUAAUAAAGUAUUAUAAAAUAACAUACACAACCAGACUGCUCUGUAUUUAGAUUAAAUUACAGAAGGGCAAUGAUUAAAUUUAGGCUGUCAUCUGUUGACAUUCUCUUUGACAGGAUGCUGAGAACUACUAAACCUGAUGCCUGCUGUAUAAAGAAUGAAAUACAGCAGGAUAAAAAGCCCGAUAUGAUCUCAUCACCCAAGAACUGCUAUCACUUCAUAAACUGAUGCUAUACAUUAGAGAAUAAUGGUCUCAGAAGACAAUGUCAUGCUUGCAUUAGAAUAUCAUUCUUUUUACGUACUGUGAAAGAAUGGGUGUCUCCUUUUCACAAACAGUAUCACAAUCACAGGAUCACCAAGGCUGGAAAAGACCUAUAAGAUCAUCCAGUCCAACCUCCACCUAUCACC